rnacentral:rRNA from 1 species
GAUGAACGCUGGCGGCGUGCCUAACACAUGCCAGUCGAACGGAGAUUACGGACGGAAGUUUUCGGAUGGAAGACUGUAAUUCUUAGUGGCGGACGGGUGAGUAACGCGUGGGCAACCUGCCCUAUACAGGGGGAUAGCAGCUGGAAACGGCUGGUAAGACCGCAUAAGUCGGCGAGACCGCAUGGUUUUGCCGGGAAAUGAGCAAUCAGGUAUAGGAUGGGCCCGCGUCCGAUUAGCCAGUUGGCAGGGUAAAAGCCUACCAAAGCAACGAUCGGAAGCCGGACUGAGAGGUCGGACGGCCACAUUGGGACUGAGACACGGCCCAAACUCCUACGGGAGGCAGCAGUGGGGGAUAUUGCACAAUGGAGGAAACUCUGAUGCAGCGACGCCGCGUGAGUGAAGAAGUAUUUCGGUAUGUAAAGCUCUAUCAGCAGGGAAGAUGAUGACGGUACCUGACUAAGAAGCCCCGGCUAACUACGUG